GUAACACGGUGGGACCAACCUCGCCUAGUAAGACGUAGGGAAUAACAUCGAAGAAGUCGGUGCUAAUACCGGAUAAUAAAAAGAACUGCAUGGUUCUUUUUUGAAAGAUGGUUUCGGCUAUCACUUACAGAUGGGCCCGCGGCGCAUUAGCUAGUUGGUGAGGUAACGGCUCACCAAGGCAACGAUGCGUAGCCGACCUGAGAGGGUGAUCGGCCACACUGGGACUGAGACACGGCCCAGACUCCUACGGGAGGCAGCAGUAGGGAAUCUUCCGCAAUGGACGAAAGUCUGACGGAGCAACGCCGCGUGAGUGAUGAAGGUUUUCGGAUCGUAAAACUCUGUUGUUAGGGAAGAACAAGUGCCGUUCGAAAGGGCGGCACCUUGACGGUACCUAACGAGAAAGCCACGGCUAACUACGUG
rnacentral:rRNA from 1 species